rnacentral:rRNA from 1 species
AACCGAGAUUCCGCAAGUAGUGGCGAGCGAACGCGGAGGAGGCCAAACCGGUGGAUUUAUUCACCGGGGUUCGGACUGGCAUCACGAUCAGAGGUAUCUAGAAGAACGGCAUGGGAAGGCCGGCCAUAGAGGGUGAGAGCCCCGUAUUUGAAAGAGAAGACUGACAGCCAGAAUCCAGAGUACCGCGGGACACGUGAAACCCCGUGGGAAGAUGGGUGGACCACCAUCCAAGCCUAAAUACUACCUGAUGACCGAUAGAGGAGCAGUACCGUGAGGGAAAGGUGAAAAGGACCCCGGGAGGGGAGUGAAAGAGAACCUGAAACCUUGUGCCUACAAGCACAUAGAGCCCGUCAAAGGGUGAUAUGGUACUUUUUGUAGAACGGUCCGGCGAGCGAUUGUACGUUGCGAGCUUAAGGUCUUAAGGACUGGAGGCGUAGCGAGAGCGAGUCUAAACAGGGCGUUUAGUAGCGUGCAAUGGGCCCGAAACCGGGUGACCUACCCAUGAUCAGGCUGAAGUGAAAGUAAAAUUUCAUGGAGGGCCGAACCGACCUCCGUUGAAAAGGCGGCGGAUGAAUUGUGGGUAGCGGAGAAAUUCCAAUCGAACUCGGAGAUAGCUGGUUCUCCCCGAAAUAGCUUUAGGGCUAGCCUCAUGUUAGAUAUCCGGAGGUAAAGCACUGAAUGGCCUAGCGUCCGAGAGGAUAGCGAAGCCUAUCAAACUAAGAAUGCCGGAAUAUUGAUGCAUGGGAGUCAGACAGUGUGAGAUAAAUCUCAUUGUCAAAAGGGAAACAGCCCAGAUCUACAGCUAAGGUCCCAAAUUGUAUCUAAGUGGAAAACGAUGUGGAAAUACGCAGACAACCAGGAUGUUGGCUCAGAAGCAGCCACUCAUUUAAAGAGUGCGUAAUAGCUCACUGGUCGAGCGUCUCUGCGCGGAAAAUUUAACGGGGCUAAGAUACAAACCGAAGCUUAGGCUGCACUUUUAGUGCGGGGUAGGGGAGCGUUGUGUAAGCGGAGAAACAGUAGCGGAAGCGGCUGUGGAGUUUACAGAAGUGAGAAUGCCGGAAUGAGUAGCGCGAAUGAUGUGAGAAUCAUCAUGGCCGGAAACCUCAGGUUUUUGGAGGAAGGUUCGUCCGCUCCAAGUUAGGCGGGAGCUAAGGUGAGGCCGAAAGGCGUAGCCGAUGCACAGACGGUAGAGAUUCCGUCCCCACCGAAAGAUUUAAGCGCAGGGACACUUUUAGAAGGUCGGAGCCAGGUGUUGGUUCUGGUAGAGAUCGAGGGAAGAUUAGUACCGAAGUCCGGCUGGAUAAGAGGCGAGAAAAGCUGCGUGUAUAUCUAAGGUGCCCGUACCGCAAACCGACACAGGUAGGUAGGAAGAAGAUUCUAAGGCCAACGGGAGAAGGGUUGUUAAGGAACUCGGCAAGUUGACCCCGUAACUUCGGAAUAAGGGGUGCUCAUGAAAGUGAGCCGCAGAGAAUAGGCCCAGGCAACUGUUUACCAAAAACACAGGUUUGUGCUAAAUCGAAAGAUGACGUAUACGAGCUGACGCCUGCCCGGUGCUGGAAGGUUAAAAGGAGAUGUGCAAGCAUUGAAUUGAAGCCCCAGUGAACGGCGGCCGUAACUAUAACGGUCCUAAGGUAGCGAAAUUCCUUGUCAGGUAAGUUCUGACCCGCAUGAAAGGCGUAAUGAUCUGGGCACUGUCUCAACAGCCCGCCCGGCGAAAUUGUAGUACCGGUGAAGAUGCCGGUUACCCGCGACAAGACGGAAAGACCCCAUGGAGCUUUACUGUAGCCUAAUAUUGGGUUUCGGUGUUGCAUGCACAGGAUAGAUGGGACGCUAGGAAGUGAGUGCUUUGGCAUUCAUGGAGCGGCCGUUGGGAUACCAUCCUUGCGACAUUGGAAUUCUAACCUGCGCCUUUGAAUCAAGGCGGGGGACAUUGUUAGGUGGGCAGUUUGACUGGGGCGGUCGCCUCCUAAAGAGUAGCGGAGGCGUUCAAAGGUUGGCUCGUCCUGGACGGAAACCAGGAGAGAGAGUGCAAACGCAAAAGCCAGCCUGACUGCGAGACUGACGGGUCGAGCAGAGACGAAAGUCGGAGUUAGUGAUCCGGUGGUAUGUGAGUGGAAAUGCCAUCGCUCAACGGAUAAAAGCUACCCUGGGGAUAACAGGCUGAUCUCCCCCAAGAGU